AUAUCAAUAAGCGGAGGAAAAGAAACCAACCGGGAUUGCCCUAGUAACGGCGAGCGAAGCGGCAACAGCUCAAAUUUGAAAUCCUUUUGGGAGUUGUAAUUUGCAGAGAGUGCGUCGGUGCGGGGGUGGCUGAGUCGCCUGGAAUGGCGCGCCAAGGAGGGUGACAGCCCCGUUCUGCCACACAACCCCAAGCCAGUGACGCCUCUUCGACGAGUCGAGUAGUUUGGGAAUGCUGCUCUAAAUGGGAGGUAUAUCUCUUCUAAAGCUAAAUACCGGCCUGAGACCGAUAGCGCACAAGUAGAGUGAUCGAAAGAUGAAAAGCACUUUGAAAAGAGAGUUAAAAGCAC
rnacentral:rRNA from 1 species